CCAGGGAGCAUAGCUUCAGCUGGAAGAGGAGAACACGAAGUGGAAGUGACACCAUUUUGUUCCUUUAUUCCAGGGAAAGUGGAUGGCACAGACACUUCCAUGUGCCACUUUCCUCUUUGUCUCAGGAGAUACAUGACUCAGGGCUGUGGUGCAGUCGCCUUGAGUCAAGUCGUUGUGCUGGUUCUCAGAGCUGCAUUAUGUAACACCCUCCUCAUGGAUGCUCCCUGCUUUGGUGUUUCUCAGCUCUGGGGCCUGGGCUAAGGCGAUCACUUUGAAGUGCUCUGUAACGCUGGCUGAUAAGAUAUGACAUGACAAACGACACGAAAUGACAUGACAGCACUGCUGGCCGAGGGACCCGCCUGCUCCGUGCGCUCCCAGCCCCCGCCCGGGCUGCGGGAGCCAUCUAGCGGCAGCUGCCCUCAGUUACACCCUCCGCCCUUCCUCCUCCGAGCGCCGGCCUGGCGCACACACCUUCCCCUCCUUCUCCACUAACUAAAACAGCGCUGGAAAAUUCUGGAUGUCCUGGGGAAGCUGAAAACAUCAGGAAGCGGGAUGUUGCUGAUGUUGUUCAGAUAUAGUUUAGUAUUAUGCCACUAUCGGCAGUACUUCAACCCCCCAUUACAAGCACCGUGGCUCCUCCAAACUCCCUGAUGGGCACUGCAGGCACUUGGACAAGUACUGUGCAUUUAAUAAUAAACAUGUAAGUACAUUUAGUUCAAAUAAAAAAUGAUGAAUUAUUUAGCUAUCAAAAUACUUAGAUUCACAUCAUCUUCUGCAAAAAUCUCCAAUGUUAAGACCUAAUUGGGCAGCCUUUAACUGCUGGGAUAGACCUGUGUGGUACCUCAUUUCAAAAGUGAAUCCUUUUCCAUGCCUGAAAGAUGGCUAGAAAUUCUUUUUCGAAUAAAAAUUACAUCUUCUACAUUAUUAACAGAAGUGUUCUUUGACAAAGACACUAUUCAAUUAA